UACGGAGGGUGCGAGCGUUGUCCGGAAUCACUGGGCGUAAAGGGCGCGUAGGCGGCUUUUCAAGUCGGGGGUGAAAGCCUGUGGCUCAACCACAGAAUUGCCUUCGAUACUGUUAGGCUUGAGACCGGAAGAGGUUAGUGGAACUGCGAGUGUAGAGGUGAAAUUCGUAGAUAUUCGCAAGAACACCAGUGGCGAAGGCGGCUAACUGGUCCGGUUCUGACGCUGAGGCGCGAAAGCGUGGGGAGCAAACAGG
rnacentral:rRNA from 1 species